UUUUCCUUUUCAUUCUUUAUUCAUAAUAGUCUAUAACUUUUGAUAAAAUACACUUUGUUUACAAGUGCUGAUUACUAUAUUACAUUCACCCAGAGUUUAAAUGGAGACAAAAGGACACAGACAUAAACAAAUUCAUCUAGUGCCAAACAUGACAUUUUUUAAAAACGGUGGUGAUUGCCCACAAACCCUCCCCUCCCCACCCCCCAACUGCUCUUCUAAACGCACAUCAAGUUACAUUAGUAAUAGUGGGGACUGCUGCCCGAUUCAUGUUUCAGUCCUUAUUAACAAAGAUUUCAGCUGCCUUUAGGGUUGUGAUUGAAUGGUUUUGCUAUACUUUUUGCAGUGCAAUCCAGUCCCCACCUCUACAUGAGUAAAUACAGCAUUCUAACAUCACAUUCAACCAAAUAAAACCUAAAUAUUCACGGAGGGGUACAUUAAAUCUGUGCUAACAAAAUCAAAUACUGGUAAACCAGUUUUAGUGAAGUGUCAAUGCUAAAUAUGUGGGAACCCUUCCAGAUGCUAACCCUAAUUUCCACAAGACACAAAACCCAAUUUAAUAAGAAACACAUUUAAGAAUGGACUCGGAUUAAUCCACUAACUUUAAAAAAAAAAAAAAAAAAAAAAAAGGUGUUUUAAGAACGUACAUUUUCAUUUUUUUAUAAAGUAAUGACACAAAUGCAGACAAACUAAAAGGAUACACACAUUACAACAUUUUCAUGGAAAUAUAUAGACCAACGGAUGGAUUGUAAAACCUGGGCCAUACAGAAUAUCAGAUACCUGGGCAAUUUGAGUUACAAAGUCAAGUUAUUCUGUAUGGUGGUCUGUCCAGUCUAAACAAAAUUAUAGGAAAAAAAAACGGACAGCCAAUAUAUUAUUAUAGUAAAUACCCUGUUGAUUUGUCAAAAACAACUAGCAAAUAGAUCUUUUAUAUUAAAAUAUAUUAAUUAAAAUAUAUUACUUUGAUUAACUAGUCAGACAUUAAAAACAACUUCUGAUUAUUCUUGUUUUCUUUAAGGUGACUUUGGCAUAUUACCUUGGAAACAAUUGCUAUAAAACAGGCCUAUUUUGUGUUGCCAGGAGACUCCAAAAUAUAAUUGAUGCAUCUUUUUUUUUUUUUUUUUUUUUUGUGUAACCAGCAUAAACACUCGAAUAACCAGUUGAGGUAACACUUCACACUGGCCUUUUUUACAUUUUAAUCUGUGGUAAAGAAAGCACUACUAUUGUGUUUACAUCAUCAGAACGUGAUUACAAAAGGUUGUAACAACAGUUUUUACACCACAAGUGUGCUGUGUAUCACAUAUCCACACUAUUGUGCAUUAUAUCAACAAUAUUAUUUUGGGUUUACAAUCAUUCAUACCAUGAUACUAUGCAGAAAAACUCUCAAUUACCAGGAAAAAAAAGCCAUUUUAAUGUGAAGUGCUGCACUCAUCCAUUAAUCGGUGACCUACUGUACCUCCAAAUAAUUUUGCACAACCGACACACGCUAUGCUGAAUCAUUCUACGAUACGGCAUUUAGCGUUCUAGCAUAAUUGACUGUUCUUCUCUAUUUUUUUUCCACAGUAAAAAUUAUUUUGUCACAAAUGAAAGCCGGAUAUGCUCAAGCAAGGUGUUCUGCAUGAAUAAAAUUAUAUUAUUUCUACAUCUAGGCGAAUACCAUGAAUGAGCAAGUAUUUACAGUGAAAAAACAAACAAAAAAAAAGUCUUCAUUUUCUCCCCUUGCCUUGAGUGUUUGUUUUUUUUUUUAAGUUUGCCACUGCUGAUCUACCUAUACAGAAAUACAAGCA
ensembl:lncRNA